AUUGAACGCUGGCGGCAUGCCUUACACAUGCAAGUCGAACGGUAACAGGUCUUCGGAUGCUGACGAGUGGCGAACGGGUGAGUAAUACAUCGGAACGUGCCCGAUCGUGGGGGAUAACGGAGCGAAAGCUUUGCUAAUACCGCAUACGAUCUACGGAUGAAAGCAGGGGACCGCAAGGCCUUGCGCGGACGGAGCGGCCGAUGGCAGAUUAGGUAGUUGGUGGGAUAAAAGCUUACCAAGCCGACGAUCUGUAGCUGGUCUGAGAGGACGACCAGCCACACUGGGACUGAGACACGGCCCAGACUCCUACGGGAGGCAGCAGUGGGGAAUUUUGGACAAUGGGCGCAAGCCUGAUCCAGCCGUGCCGCGUGCAGGAUGAAGGCCUUCGGGUUGUAAACUGCUUUUGUACGGAACGAAAAGACUCUUUCUAAUAAAGAGGGUCCAUGACGGUACCGUAAGAAUAAGCACCGGCUAACUACGUG
rnacentral:rRNA from 1 species